rnacentral:rRNA from 1 species
GACGAACGCUGGCGGCGUGCUUAACACAUGCAAGUCGAACGGAAAGGCCCUGCUUUUGUGAGGUGCUCGAGUGGCGAACGGGUGAGUAACACGUGAGUAACCUGCCCUUGACUUUGGGAUAACUUCAGGAAACUGGGGCUAAUACCGGAUAGGAGCUCCUGCUGCAUGGUGGGGGUUGGAAAGUUUCGGCGGUUGGGGAUGGACUCGCGGCUUAUCAGCUUGUUGGUGGGGUAGUGGCUUACCAAGGCUUUGACGGGUAGCCGGCCUGAGAGGGUGACCGGCCACAUUGGGACUGAGAUACGGCCCAGACUCCUACGGGAGGCAGCAGUGGGGAAUAUUGCACAAUGGGCGGAAGCCUGGUGCAGCAACGCCGCGUGCGGGAUGACGGCCUUCGGGUUGUAAACCGCUUUCGCCUGUGACGAAGCGUGAGUGACGGUAAUGGGUAAAGAAGCACCGGCUAACUACGUG